GACGUUAUCUUUCCUACUUCGGUCUCGUGGUCGCUCUCCGGCAAGGAGCAGCGGAAAAACCCCAGCAGGCCCUGCUUCUGAACUCCUCGAAGACCCUCGGAGCACUUCGAACACCUCUUCCAAUUCGAUCUCCUGUGUUGAGACGAGAUGGCGGCGAAGAUAGAUCAUGAAUGGACUGGAAUUCGGCAGUUCCCCUUUGAAUUUAAGCACAUUGACAAUUCUAGUUAUGGGAAAGGCUGGAGUUGGGAAGUCAUCUACUGUGAACUCCGUUUUAGGGGAGAAGGUGGCCACUGUUAGUGCUUUUCAGGUUUCUUUUGAACAAGACUAUAGAUAUUCUUCUAUAUGUGGACUGGUUGGAUGCAUAUAGGGUGGAUAGUUUGGAUAGACUGGUCAUCAGAGCCAUAACUGACACAUCUGGCAAAAGAAUAUGACACAGAUCUUUGGUUGUUUGAACUCAUGCAUAGCUGUCUCCACCAGAUGGAAUGAAAUAUGAUGAUUUCUUUGCUAAACGAGCAGGAGCACUUCUCACAUGCAUUCACUUGUGUGCUUGAAUUAAGAAGCAGGAGUUUCAGUACUUCGUCGUGGUUAAAGGUAUUCAACCUUCUAUAAAGGCAGACAUUAAGAAGGAAGCUAAGCCACUAUGGGAGCUUGGCGACAUGGGCUUAGAAAAUUGUAAACCUUUUCUUCUUCAACAUCGACGAUGCUUGUUUUUGUUUUUGUUACAGCAAUGUAUUCCUGAUGAUCUCUCUAAUAUAUCAUAAGGGUGCUUAAUUGUAAAUAGUUGAUUAAGUAGAAGAUCAGAUUUAUCUGGCUCAGGAUGAGAUGCUUGUUUAUGUUUUUGUUACAGUAAUGUAUUCCUGAUGAUCUCUCUAAUGUAUCAUAAGGGUGAUUAAUUGUAAAUAGUUGAUUAAGUGGAAGAUCAGAUUUAUCUGGCUGAGGAUGAGUUGUUGUAGCCUUUCAUGGUUAGACAGUUGAACGGCUGCAUAAGAUAUAUUUGUUUCA